rnacentral:tRNA from 3 species
GGAGAGGUACCGAAGUGGUCAUAACGGGGCCGACUCGAAAUCGGCUGUCCCUUUUCAGGGACCGGGGGUUCGAAUCCCUCCCUCUCCGCCA